rnacentral:rRNA from 1 species
UACGUAGGGUGCUAGCGUUGUUCGGAAUCAUUGGGCGUAAAGCGCGUGUAGGCGGUUUGUUAAGUCGGGUGUGAAAUCCCUGGGCUCAACCGAGGAAGUGCAUCCGAAACUAACUGGCUAGAAGAUGGCAGAGGAAGGUGGAAUUCCUAGUGUAGAGGUGAAAUUCGUAGAUAUUAGGAGGAAUACCGGUGGCGAAGGCGGCCUUCUGGACCAUUCUUGACGCUGAGACGCGAAAGCGUGGGGAGCAAACAGG